rnacentral:rRNA from 1 species
UACGAAGGGGCUAGCGUUGUUCGGAAUCACUGGGCGUAAAGGGCGCGUAGGCGGCUUUGUAAGUCGGGGGUGAAAGCCUGUGGCUCAACCACAGAAUUGCCUUCGAUACUGCAUGGCUUGAGACCGAAGAGGUAAGUGGAACUGCGAGUGUAGAGGUGAAAUUCGUAGAUAUUCGCAAGAACACCAGUGGCGAAGGCGGCUUACUGGUCCGGUUCUGACGCUGAGCGCGAAAGCGUGGGAGCAA